AACGAACGCUGGCGGCAGGCUUAACACAUGCAAGUCGAGCGCCCCGCAAGGGGAGCGGCAGACGGGUGAGUAACGCGUGGGAAUCUACCCAUCUCUACGGAAUAACGCAUGGAAACGUGUGCUAAUACCGUAUACGUCCUUCGGGAGAAAGAUUUAUCGGAGAUGGAUGAGCCCGCGUUGGAUUAGCUAGUUGGUGGGGUAAAGGCCUACCAAGGCGACGAUCCAUAGCUGGUCUGAGAGGAUGAUCAGCCACACUGGGACUGAGACACGGCCCAGACUCCGACGGGAGGCAGCAGUGGGGAAUAUUGGACAAUGGGGGCAAGCCUGAUCCAGCCAUGCCGCGUGAGUGAUGAAGGCCCUAGGGUUGUAAAGCUCUUUCACCGGUGAAGAUAAUGACGGUAACCGGAGAAGAAGCCCCGGCCAACUUCGUGCCAGCCGCCGCGGUAAGAC
rnacentral:rRNA from 1 species